AUUAUUUGAUUCACGUAUUGUGCAAAUAAAACGUGUAAUUGAUAACCUCAUUUAAUGAAUGGAAUAUAUUUUUAUUUAAUUCAAAAUACAAUAACUCCACAAGUCAAACAGAGACUUAAAGGGCAUCAUAAUAUUGGGAGAUUAUGUAUAGUCAUAUAAAUGAUUAAACAUCAGUAUUUAGCUACAUUAAUCAAACAAUACAGUUGGGUACAAUAUUGUUUUUAUACUAAAAUGUCUUCUUUGCUGGUUCCUCUGGAAUCAGUACGAGGAAUGAAAUGUUUGGACCGUACUGCAUUUACAACCACUGUGGAAUUACCAUUUUUAAAAACUCGUAGCGCAGCACUAUCAAAAAUAAUACCUAUUGUAAAAAAAUAUCUAUUUAAAGUAAGAAACUUUAAACCAGUUCAAAGUGCAGAUAAUGAAACUAUUAUAUAUUUGGAUCCCAAGUUAAUAAAAACAAUUGAAGAGUUUGUAGAAAGUGAAAAGAAUCAGUUAUUAGGAAUGUAUGAACAGUUUGGAACAACAAAAAUAACUUUAAAAUAUGAUAACUGGCAAUCCUAUCAGAUAUUAAGGGGUAUUUUACCUGAGGAAAUUGAGGUUCCAACUUCAUAUAGCAUAGUUGGCCAUAUUUUGCAUUUAAAUCUGCGUGAUGCACAUUUACCAUACAAAGCUAUUAUUGGCCAAGUUUAUCUUGAUAUGGUUCCAAAUGUUCGAACUGUUUUGAACAAAAUAGAUAUGAUUGAUACAACUUUUAGAAAUUUUACUAUGGAAAUUCUUGCAGGCGAUAAAAAUACUAUUACGACAGUAAAAGAGAAUGGCCAUACGUAUGAAUUAGAUUUUUCUAAGGUUUAUUGGAAUCCUCGAUUAAGUACAGAACAUCAAAAUGUAGUUAAAUAUAUGAAACCUAAUGAUGUUUUAUAUGAUGUAUUUGCUGGAGUUGGACCAUUUGCUAUUCCUGCUGCUCAUAAAGGAAUUAAAGUAUUUGCGAAUGAUUUAAAUCCGGAAUCUUAUAAAUGGCUACAGAAAAAUAUCAUCAUUAAUAAAGUUAAAAAAAAUACACAAUGUUUUAAUAUAGAUGGUAGAGAUUUUUUAAAAACCAUUUUUAAGGCUGAUAUUUUAAACAGGCGAGCUACUAAUAAAGUUGGUAUGGAACAUAUAGUAAUGAAUUUACCAGCACUUGCUGUUGAAUUCUUGGAUGUAUUUUUUGAUUCAUUUAGUGAAAAUGAGAUUAAGCAAAUGUGUUGUUGGCCACCAACUGUUCACUUAUAUUGUUUUAUAAAAACAAAUAAAGGAGAAGAUGCUUGUAAACUGGGACAAUUGUUGGUAGAACAGAAACUUGGUUGUACAUUGAGUCCUGAUUCUUUAAUUGAUUUACAUUUUGUCAGAAAUGUAUCUUUAAACAAAGAUAUGAUACGUGUAUCAUUUUUAUUAACUGAAAAUAUAUUAAAAGGCGAGGCGCCAGCAAUGAAGAAAUUAAAGAUGGAAAAUAAUUUUGAUGUACUUGCAAGUGAUAAUAUUACAGAGAAUAAUGGGAAAGAACAAAGGAUUCCAAAAAAAGCAAACGAAGAAAAAUGUGUUUAAAGUAGCAACAGUUCGUGGUGAUAGGCUGAAGGUGAAAGCACAAAAAGUGUUAACUAAUUUAAAAAAGUUGGAUUUGAAAAAAGAUAAAGCAAGUAAAGGAAAUAAGGAUAAAGCAGCACAAAUUGAUAAACAACUUGAGGAAUUACGUAAGGAAGUAUGUCAGUCCAAACCAAAAAUGAAAGUAACUAAUACAAAGCAAGGAGAAAGGAAGAAAAUGCAGAAUGCAGCACCAAUACAAACAGAUGCAACAACUUCCUUGGUGGAGAAAAUGCAAAUUUGAUAAACAUACAACUUAGUUGAACAUACAUAUUUAGAACAUUAAUGUAAUAUAAUGUACUUUAAUAAUAAAACUGCUCAAUAAUA